CCUACGGGGGGCAGCAGUGAGGAAUAUUGGUCAAUGGGCGCGAGCCUGAACCAGCCAAGUAGCGUGAAGGAUGAAUGCCCUACGGGUUGUAAACUUCUUUUAUAAAGGAAUAAAGUGAGGGACGUGUGCGUUUUUGUAUGUACUUUAUGAAUAAGGAUCGGCUAACUCCGUGCCAGCAGCCGCGGUAAUACGGAGGAUCCGAGCGUUAGCCGGAUUUAUGGGGGUUAAAGGGAGCGUAGAUGGGUUGUUAAGUCAGUGGUGCAAGUUUGCGGCUCAACCGUAUAAUUGCAAUUGAUACUGGCAGCCUUGAGUACAGUUGAGGUAGGCGGAAUUCGUGGUGUAGCGGUGAAAUGCUUAGAUAUCGCGCAGAACUCCGAUUGCGAAGGCAGCAUACCGUCGCCCGACUGACGCUGAGGCACGAAAGCGUGGGUAUCGAACAGGAUUAGAUACCCGAGUAGUC
rnacentral:rRNA from 1 species